rnacentral:rRNA from 1 species
UACGAGGGGUGCAAACGUUAUUCGGAAUCACUGGGCGUAAAGGGUGCGUAGACGGCGAGAUAAGUCAAUUAUUAAAUCUCUCAGCUUAACUGAGAAACUGUAAUUGAAACUGACUUGCUUGAGGAUGGAAGAGAGAAGCGGAAUUCUCGGAGUAGCGGUAAAAUGCGUAGAUCUCGAGAGGAACACCGAUGGCGAAGGCAGCUUCUUGGUCCAUUUCUGACGUUGAGGCACGAAAGCGUGGGGAGCAAACAGG